CAGGGGUACUUGGACGAACAAUUUGAUCAGCUAGAGGAGUUGCAGGAUGAAUCCAGCCCUAAUUUUGUGGAAGAAGUUGUCACAUUGUUCUUCAGGGAUUCAUCCAGAUUGAUGGCCAACAUUGACGACGCCCUCCAGCAGUGCCCUCGAGAUUUCCAUAGGCUGGACAACUUCUUGCACCGAUUGAAGGGCAGUGCUUCCAGCAUCGGUGCUGCAAAGAUGAAGAACGAGUGCGCCAGUUUCAGAGAAUUCUGCAGUGAAGGAAACCUUGACGGGUGC